CGUUAAGACUCCUACGGGAGGCAGCAGUGGGGAAUAUUGCACAAUGGGGGAAACCCUGAUGCAGCCAUGCCGCGUGUGUGAAGAAGGCCUUCGGGUUGUAAAGCACUUUCAGUAGGGAGGAAGGUAGUGUAGUUAACACCUGCACUAUUUGACGUUACCUACAGAAGAAGCACCGGCUAACUCCGUGCCAGCAGCCGCGGUAAUACGGAGGGUGCGAGCGUUAAUCGGAAUUACUGGGCGUAAAGCGCAUGCAGGCGGCCUGUUAAGUCAGAUGUGAAAGCCCGGGGCUUAACCUCGGAAUUGCAUUUGAAACUGGCAGGCUAGAGUCUUGUAGAGGGGGUAGAAUUUCAGGUGUAGCGGUGAAAUGCGUAGAGAUCUGAAGGAAUACCAGUGGCGAAGGCGGCCCCCUGGACAAAGACUGACGCUCAGAUGCGAAAGCGUGGGGAGCAAACAGGAUUAGAUACCCUGGUAG
rnacentral:rRNA from 1 species